rnacentral:rRNA from 1 species
GAUGAACGCUAGCGGGAGGCUUAAUACAUGCAAGUCGAACGGUAACAGGCGUAGCAAUACGUGCUGACGAGUGACGCACGGGUGAGGAACACGUACGCAAUCUGCCUCUGACUGGGGGAUAGCUUCGGGAAACUGGGAUUAAUACCCCGUAACAUUACGGAAGGGCAUCCUUCUGUGAUUAAACCUCCGGGGGUCAGAGAUGAGCGUGCGUCUGAUUAGGUAGUUGGUAGGGUAACGGCCUACCAAGCCAACGAUCAGUAGCUGGCGUGAGAGCGCGACCAGCCACACGGGAACUGAGACAUGGUCCCGACUCCUACGGGAGGCAGCAGUAGGGAAUAUUGGACAAUGGCUGAAAAGCUGAUCCAGCCAUCCCGCGUGAAGGCAGAAGGUCCUAUGGAUUGUAAUCUUCUUUUCUCUGGGAAGAAAAGGCGGGUUUCUACCUGCUCUGACGGUACCAGAGGAAUAAGCACCGGCUAACUCCGUGCCAGCAGCCGCGGU